AUUGGGCUUUUUAUUUAAUGGGCUUUAAAUGAUAGAUUAUUAUAGCCCAUUGAAUAAAACCCUAAAACCAUCUCUAUUGAGGUAUCUCAUAAGAGUUUCUCACAAUUAAAAAAAUAAAAAUAAUGAAAAUGAAGGAGAGAGAGUGUAGAAAGUUUCUCACUUGAGUCAUGACAAUUCUCAUCUUACUAUUGGUUCAAUUUUUUAACAAAA
rnacentral:sRNA from 1 species